GGAGUUAGCCGGUGCUUCUUCUGCGAGUAACGUCACAGAUGUAAGGUAUUAACUUACACCCUUUCCUCCUCGCUGAAAGUGCUUUACAACCCGAAGGCCUUCUUCACACACGCGGCAUGGCUGCAUCAGGGUUUCCCCCAUUGUGCAAUAUUCCCCACUGCUGCCUCCCGUAGGAGUCUGGGCCGUGUCUCAGUCCCAGUGUGGCUGAUCAUCCUCUCAGACCAGCUAGGGAUCGUCGCCUAGGUGAGCCUUUACCUCACCUACUAGCUAAUCCCACCUGGGCUUAUCCAUCAGCGCAAGGCCCGAAGGUCCCCUGCUUUCCCCCGUAGGGCGUAUGCGGUAUUAGCAGUCGUUUCCAACUGUUAUCCCCACAAAUGGGCAAAUUCCCAGGCAUUACUCACCCGUCCGCCGCUCGUCAUCUUCAAAGCAAGCUUUUGAAAUGUUACCGCUCGACUUGCAUGUGUUAGGCCUGCCGCCAGCGUUCAAUCUGAGCCAUAAUCAAACUCUGA
rnacentral:rRNA from 1 species